CCUACGGGAGGCAGCAGUGAGGAAUAUUGGUCAAUGGGCGAGAGCCUGAACCAGCCAAGUCGCGUGAGGGAGUACUGCCCUAUGGGUUGUAAACCUCUUUUGUCGGGGAGCAAAAGCCGGACGUGUCCGGCUGUGAGAGUACCCGAAGAAAAAGCAUCGGCUAACUCCGUGCCAGCAGCCGCGGUAAUACGGAGGAUGCCAGCGUUAUCCGGAUUUAUUGGGUUUAAAGGGUGCGCAGGCGGAUUUUUAAGUCAGCGGUAAAAUCGUGGGGCUCAACCCCAUCCAGCCGUUGAAACUGGGGAUCUAGAGUGUGCGAGAGGUAUGCGGAAUGCGUGGUGUAGCGGUGAAAUGCAUAGAUAUCACGCAGAACCCCGAUUGCGAAGGCAGCAUACCGGUGCACAACUGACGCUCAGGCACGAAAGCGUGGGUAUCGAACAGGAUUAGAUACCCGUGUAGUC
rnacentral:rRNA from 1 species